UGUGGUCUCAUUUUCUUUCAAUCAUAUCCCCUUUUUGCACCGUUUGUUCAUCUUCAAGGUAUGGAACUCUUUGGGCCUUGAUCUCACUUUGGCAAUCAAGUUCAAUAGGUAGGGUUUUCUACCAUUUUCUACCGAUUCGUCUUCGCUCAUCUUCGUCUAGAGGGUUCGUAGUUCGUUUCCCCUUCUUCCGCGGCUUCCUCUAUUCGCCCACUCGAUUUUCACCAGAUUCAUGGUUUCUCACCAAUCUGCCAUGACCUGGGGUCAUCAGAGCCUAGGUUAGGCGCGUUCGUUUGAGCUAAGUGUUUUUCUUAACUUUUCUCUUGUAAAUUUGACUUUCAGAAUUUUGUUGCAUUGAGCUAAGUUUGUAUUCAUGGAGCUAAUUCGAUCUUUGUUCUUCUCCCUUUUUAA